rnacentral:misc_RNA from 1 species
UUAUGAUAUAAAUAGUGAAAAAAAUUCGACCUUUUCUGGUAACCGUUCGACUAAAUCUGAAACUGUUUCUUCUAAGCGUCUUGAAAUAGAAAGUACCAAUAGUAGUAUUCCUAUUUGGAAUCAGCAGCAGCAGCAACAGCAGAAUGUGUCUAUUGUUUUGUCUAAGAAAGAAGAAGCUUCUAGUAAUUUGCUUAAGGUGGUGAAUAAGAAAGAAUGUGAUAUCACUAAAGGGAAAUGGGUUUUUGAUGAGAGCUAUCCUUUGUACACAAAUGCUUCAUGUCCCUACAUUGAUGAAGGUUUUAGUUGUGAAACUAAUGGAAGAUUGGAUAAGAAUUAUAUGAAAUGGAGGUGGCAACCUCAAGAUUGUGACAUUCCAAGGUUCAAUGCUACUCAGAUGUUGGAACUUAUUAGAG